UAGCCUAGUGGUUAAAGCUAUGGAUCGCCAAUCCGGAGACAGCGGGUUCGAUUCCCGU
rfam:Aedes albopictus isolate Foshan contig96710, whole genome shotgun sequence.